rnacentral:rRNA from 1 species
GACGAACGCUGGCGGCGCGCUUAACACAUGCAAGUCGAGCGAGAACCCAGGCUUCGGCCUGGGGGAAAGCGGCGAACGGGUGAGUAACACGUGGGUAAUCUGCCCUCGGCAUCGGGAUAGCCCGGGGAAACCCGGAUUAAUACCGAAUGGCCCAUCUGCUCUUCGGAGCGGCUGGAAAAGGUAGCUUUGGCCUCCGGCCGAGGAUGAGCCCGCGGCGGACUAGCUUGUUGGUGAGGUAACGGCUCACCAAGGCGACGAUCCGUCGCUGGUCUGAGAGGACGAUCAGCCACACUGGGACUGAGACACGGCCCAGACUCCUACGGGAGGCAGCAGUGGGGAAUUUUGGACAAUGGGGGCAACCCUGAUCCAGCCAUGCCGCGUGAGUGAAGAAGGCCUUCGGGUUGUAAAGCUCUUUCGGCCGGGAAGAAAUCGCACGGGCUAAUACCCUGUGUGGAUGACGGUACCGGAAUAAGAAGCACCGGCUAACUACGUGCCAGCCGCCGCGGUAAUAC